UACGGAGGGUGCGAGCGUUAAUCGGAAUUACUGGGCGUAAAGCGCAUGUAGGCGGCGGGCUAAGUCCCUUGUGAAAGCCCCGGGCUUAACCUGGGAACGGCAGGGGAUACUGGUCGGCUCGAGUGUGGUAGAGGGUAGUGGAAUUUCCGGUGUAGCAGUGAAAUGCGUAGAGAUCGGAAGGAACACCCGUGGCGAAGGCGGCUAUCUGGACCAACACUGACGCUGAGAUGCGAAAGCGUGGGGAG
rnacentral:rRNA from 1 species